UUACACUAUGGCAUUCUUUGUCUGACACGUCACCGAAUCCUCGCUCAAGCCCCACCAAUGGAUUCUUUUAUGUCAUCGUAACAUCGUUCCUUUCUGAUGCUACCUACCACUAUUUAGUAUACGCGACAGAUACGUAAUCACGUUACGUGCUUUCUAAUUACUGUAUGUUAAAUAGACUUCAAUAAUUUGUGAUUGUGAUAUAAAAAUUGUGUUUUAAUCGUACAUUGGUGUUGUGAACAGAUACCAAAAAAUUUAGAUAAGAUAUAUAAGGAGAAAUAUAAGGUACAGUUCCUCUAAUCAUCGUCACAACAAAAAAUUGACUUGGUUACUAGAACCGAACAGAACUGGUACUACUACGCCAGAAGAAACGAAUAGGAUCUGUAGCCGCUUUAAGAGAAGCUAAUUUGAACAAUGUCGGCCAGUCAGUACUACCAUGUGCAGUGCACACCAACGAUUUAUCCUGCUGACCCUUUCAAUCCAGAAGAAGACGCAUCUCUUCUUCGAACAGCGAUGAAGGGCUUUGGCACCGAUGAACAGACGAUAAUCGACGUCCUUGCUCAUCGUGGGAUCGUCCAGCGGCUUGAGAUAGCUGAUAAAUUUAAAACUAUGUACGGGAAGGAUCUCAUUUCUGAAUUAAAAUCAGAACUUGGUGGCAACUUUGAGAAGGCAAUUUUGGCGCUAAUGACACCGUUACCGGAAUUCUAUGCUAAAGAACUUCAUAAUGCAAUUUCCGGCAUGGGUACAGAUGAAGGUGCUCUUAUCGAGGUGCUAGCUUCUCUUAGUAAUUACGGCAUCAAGACGAUAUCCGCCGUCUAUAAAGAAUUGUAUGACAAAGACCUGGAGGAUGAUUUGAAGAGUGAUACUUCGGGCUACUUUAAGAGACUCCUAGUUUCCCUUUCAUGUGCCAACAGAGAUGAAAAUCCUGAUGUUGAUGAAGAAGCUGCAAUUCAGGAUGCUGAGAAAUUACUUGCAGCUGGUGAGGAACAAUGGGGAACCGACGAAAGUACUUUUAACGCUAUUCUCAUUACCAAAAGCUAUCCUCAACUUCGAAGAAUUUUCUAUGAAUAUGAACGUCUCGCUGGUCAUGAUUUAGAAGAUGCUAUUAAGAGAGAAUUUUCAGGAUCUAUUGAAGAUGGUUAUCUUGCAGUUGUGAAGUGUGCACGAGAUAAAACUGCCUAUCUUGCGGAAAGACUGUAUAAAGCAAUGCGUGGAUUGGGUACAGAUGACACAACAUUGAUCCGCAUAGUCGUAGCUCGAUCAGAAAUCGAUUUAGGAGAUAUUAUGGAAUCUUACCAGAAAAUGUAUGGACAAUCUCUUGCAGCUGACAUCGAUGACGACUGUUCAGGAGACUACAAGAGACUCCUGCUUGCUCUACUUGGAUGAAAGCAUUUCAUGUUCAACAACCCCUUUUGUUUCUAAAUUAUACUUUAAUAAGGGAUAUUUCUUCGCAACAUUCCGCGAAUCUUUAUAGAUGUCUUAACUUUAAUUUGUUCUAAAUUACAUCAAUAAUUAGCGAAUGAUUGCACUGCGGAGUGGAAAAGACUUCUGAUUGCGAUGUUGAAUUAAAAAUAAACUUUAGUCAAUCCAAUAAAUCUCGUGAAAGCAAUACCCAUAUGUUACCCAAAUAUGAAGCAACUGAUUAAACAUUAAUUGUAUAAGAUUGUUGAAUAAUUUUGAAUUUAAGGAAUAAAUUUUUGUUCGUAUUAAAAAGCAAAAGAUUUUAAUG